AUUGAACGCUGGCGGCGUGCUUAACACAUGCAAGUCGAUCGGUAACAGGUGUAGCAAUACAUGCUGACGAGAGGCGGACGGGUGAGGAAUAUUUGGGAAUCUGCCCAUCAGCGGGGGACAACCCGGGGAAACUCGGGCUAAUACCGCAUACGCUCUACGGAGGAAAGCCGUGGACCGCAAGGCCUGGCACUGAUGGAUCAGCGCAAAUCGGAGUAGCUAGUUGGCGGGGUAACGGCCCACCAAGGCGACGUUCCGUAGCUGGUCUGAGAGGACGAUCAGCCACACCGGAACUGAGACACGGUCCGGACUCCUACGGGAGGCAGCAGUGGGGAAUAUUGGACAAUGGGGGAAACCCUGAUCCAGCGACGCCGCGUGGGUGAAGAAGGCCUGCGGGUUGUAAAGCCCUUUCGGUAGGGAAGAAAUCUCUUGUCUUAACAAGGUAGGAGUUUGACUUAACCUACAUAAGAAGCACCGGCUAACUCUGUGCCAGCCGCCGCGGUAA
rnacentral:rRNA from 1 species